UUCAGAUGGAUGCAAGCAAUGGUUGCUU
rnacentral:piRNA from 1 species